AUAAGUGGUAGAAAAUGACUGACUGACAACAAGGUAAGCUAACAAAGAACAUCUGAAAUCAGAGCAUCUCUAGUUGGAUUUUCAAUUAGGUCAAGUAAUCCUUGAAUCCUCUCAUCACAUGCAGCAAGGUCAAACUGAUUUAAAGCAUCCCGCUCAUCUGGAGACAAACGGAUGAGAUCAGCAACAACAACCCAUUGCAUCUCCACGUCUGCUGAAGUCAUAAGUGUGUAAGGAGUGUGAUUCCAUCAUUCUGGCAGACACUACAAAACAACAGGAAGUCCGCAGUUAUCCUGUUUCCUGGCUGUGCCGGAAGAAGGUACUGACCCUAGCCCCAACGACUGCUGGAGAUAGGAACCAGCUCCCCACCCAUUUUAUGGAAAUCCAUCCAUCCAUUUUCUAUACGCUUUGGUCCUUGCAGGGGUGCAGGUGGGCUGUGGUCAUUGGGAGAGAGGAGGGGUACACCCUGGACAGGUCGCCAGUUCAUCACGGGGCAAUACAGAGACACAGGACAAACAACCAUGCAUGGAUGAAGAUGGAGUGUCCAGAGAGAACCAAUGCAUGUUGUAAUCAUCGGCUGAAUCACUAUAAAUUCAAGUUUAUUUCUUUUGACGUUGAUGAUUAUGGCUUACAGCUAUAAAAAAAAAAACCCCAGAGACUUAAGUUUCUCCAAAAAAUUUGAUAUUAAUGUAGAUAAAUAAAGAUAAAGAUUUUUUAACUCAGACAUGUCAACCUACUGUUAAGUGUAUUCAUGUACUCUACAGUAUAUGGCACAGUGUAUGCCUUAUUAAUCUGUCCCAAACUGCCGAAGAGGGUUUGCUUCACAGCGCUCAAUACCAUGUAUAUUUAUGUUGCUUGUGAACCUUUUUUUUAUUCAUUCAUGUUCUGUAAGGCUUUUUCCAUAGUGGGUCACCAGACCGGACCUGAGCAUCAGGGGUUUCAUUAGCAAUAAGCUACAUCAUCAACGUUAAGAGAAAUAAAAGCUUGAAAUGUAUUACUCUGUGUAAUGAAUCAAAAUUAGAUUUUUACUUGAAAUAUUGAAAUCAAUUAAGUUGAGAUUAAGAUGUUCUAAUUUAUGAUGAUGCCACUUCUGUCCUAAAAACACCUAUCAUCCAGUCCAUGACAUACGUUUUUUCGUCACAUGGACGCAGCUCUGUUGUUUGGUGCUAUGACCAUAGCACUGUUUACUGUUGUUUGCUGGUGAUAUUUUCACUACUUCUCGAACGGAAGUUUUUUGGUGAACCCCACUGCUGUCAUAUAACGCUGAGUAUUUGUUGCACCAACGUGCAGAUUAACUCUCAGAAGCAGCAUGGUGAGUUGCAGAGUUUUUCUUUAAUAGCAAUAAUUAUAAUAACACACUGGAACAACUUACAAUGGUAACCCAGACUGUGUAACUGUCAGGGAGCCAGGUAGCAAACAGGGUAGUUACCAGGAGGAACCAGUGGAAAAUAAUGAAACCAGGGAG